AUAUUCAUGAACACAUAAUCAUUAAAAAAAAUAAAAUAAAAAUAAAUCAUAUGUGCCUUGAUAGUGAGCUUUGUUUGUCGUGUUACCAACCCUCCAAUUAAGAAAUAGUAAGAUAGAAGCUUUGUGGGGAAACUGCUGGUUGUCUUGGCCCCAUUCAGGUUUCCUGUAUAUAGCAGGUUUUUUCUGGCCUCCCUCACUAUCCAGCUAUAGUAUGAGUGAUGGUAACGCCCAAAUAUAUGUCUAACUAUCAUCUGGCAGCAGCUGUCUUGUAUACAAAUACAGCUGUUGUGGGAGUUCGUAUAUGGGGAAUACACAUGCUGUGUAUUUGUGGGGUCGAAGUGUUCCCA